CGAGAUCAUUUCAUUGUUUUAAAUCUUAUUAUCUUUUAAUAUCAAAAAAAAUAUUCUUAAACUUUUGUGUGUGUAUAUUUGUGUAUCCAUAAAAAUAGCUAUUAAGGCGACCAGGGAAAAAAUCAUAAUUUUGGUCAAAAAUAGCUAUAUACUAAGCAUUUUUUAUUUGUUUUACUUUAUUUAAAGCCUAUUGUAUAUUAUCCCGAAGUUUCAUUCCAUAAAAAACAGAAAUAAGGAAAUUCGAUAUUUCGUGUACCAUCAGCAUCCAAAUUUUCAAGUAUACAGAAAUUUAACUUUCCGGAAUAUAACGGAAAUUUUCGGGUAUCUCCGUGGUACCAUCUCCGUGCAAUUAUGCAGUAUGGCGUUCAUCUCUUACGGAAAGAGAAUGGUAACUUGGUAAGUGUUUAAAAUACAUAUUCAACGUUUUUUUUCGUUUAUUUUUAUGACUUUUGUACAGUAGUAUAAAUCGUCCACCCUUUGGAUGAAAAGCAAAUGAUUUAUCCGGAUUUUGUUCAUCCGAAACUAAAUCACUAGUAUCAACAUCCGGUGUAAUUUUUGCUUGUAUUUUGGAGAAACUCGAUUGAUUUCUAGCAAACUUGGUUUACCACUACAUCGUCGCUUAUUAUUAUUUGUUGCUGCUUGGGACAAUAAAGUUAAGUCAGCAACCGUCUACCAGACUGCAAGAUUCAUCUCUUCCAAAGGAUGUCGUACCUUUCUAGAUACACUGUGUUUUGUGUGGAUAAGAAAUGCAGAGUGGUACCACCAAUCACCUAAGCCACCAUUCCCCUAACAGACAAUAGGCUCAUGGGGACAGUUCCUGCAAUUUACAGAAAAGUUCUCAAUUGUAGCCCUACGAA